AAGAGACAGCAGCCGCCGCGGUAAUACGUAGGUGGCAAGCGUUGUCCGGAAUUAUUGGGCGUAAAGCACGCGCAGGCGGAUCAGUUAGUCUGUCUUAAAAGUUCGGGGCUUAACCCCGUGAGGGGAUGGAAACUGCUGAUCUAGAGUAUCGGAGAGGAAAGUGGAAUUCCUAGUGUAGCGGUGAAAUGCGUAGAUAUUAGGAAGAACACCAGUGGCGAAGGCAACUUUCUGGACGAAAACUGACGCUGAGGCGCGAAAGCCAGGGGAGCGAACGGGAUUAGAUACCCGCGUAGUCCCUGUCUCUUAUACA
rnacentral:rRNA from 1 species